rnacentral:rRNA from 1 species
AGUGGACGCUGGCGGUAGGCCUAACACAUGCAAGUCGAACGGCGGCACAGUAAGAGCUUGCUCUUACGGGUGGCGAGUGGCGGACGGGUGAGGGAUACAUCGGAAUCUACUUUUUCGUGGGGGAUAACGUAGGGAAACUUACGCUAAUACCGCAUACGACCUACGGGUGAAAGCAGGGGAUCUUCGGACCUUGCGCGAUUGAAUGAGCCGAUGUCGGAUUAGCUAGUUGGCGGGGUAAAGGCCCACCAAGGCGACGAUCCGUAGCUGGUCUGAGAGGAUGAUCAGCCACACUGGAACUGAGACACGGUCCAGACUCCUACGGGAGGCAGCAGUGGGGAAUAUUGGACAAUGGGCGCAAGCCUGAUCCAGCCAUACCGCGUGGGUGAAGAAGGCCUUCGGGUUGUAAAGCCCUUUUGUUGGGAAAGAAAAGCAGCAGGUUAAUACCCCGCUGUUCUGACGGUACCCAAAGAAUAAGCACCGGCUAACUUCGUG